rnacentral:tRNA from 1 species
AGCUUUAUAGUCAAUGUAUGAUAUUAGACUGCAAUUCUAAGGUAGAAAAUUUAUUUCUAAAGCUU